AUGGACUUGGAAAGUAGUGACUUGUGGCUGGCCAUAGCUAUUUUGUCCAUCACUGUAGCACUCAUCGGCAUUGCAAGGCGAAGACUCACCUUUAAUCCAGUGUGCACAAAAUCGCUCCCCCCUAUGGUGAAUAGUAUUACUCUCCUAGGACAAUUGCCUAAGCUUUUGAUGAGGGGUAUUCAAGCUACGACCCAUGAUCUAUAUACAAAGUUUGGCAGUGUGUUCACAAUUAAUUUGUUUGGACAGAAGAUAACCUUCUUGACUGGACCCAAGGUGUCUGCUCAUUUCUUCCAAGCACCUGAAUCAGAGAUCAGCCAAGAGGUUGGCUUUGGUGUUGACAGCGCCACACGAAGUGAACAGAUACGCUUCUCCGUCGAUGCGCUAAGGCCAUCCAAGUUGAGGAACCAUGUUGAUCCCAUGCUUCAGGAAGUGGAGGGGUACUUUGCAAAAUGGGGACAAGAGGGCAUAAUAGAUCUAAAGCACGAGCUCAGUCAAGUACUAUUGUUGAUCUUGGGUCGGUGCCUACUAGGAAAAGAGAUUCGGGAGAAGAUGUUGGAUGAUUUCUACGCAUUGUCUCAUGAUGUUGAAAACGACCUUAACUUGAUCAAUCUCGUAUUCCCAUAUAUCCCAACCGCGAUAAACCACCGUCGCGACCGAGCAUGUAGCAAGCUUGCAGAAAUGCUCUCUGAAAUCGAUGCAUUACAAAGUCUAAUUCAUUCCAAGUACAAAGAUGGGCACUCCAUGACCAAAUCAGAGGUCAUUGGGCUAAUAGUUGCUUUGAUCUUUGUUGGGAAGCACAUGAGCUCUCAAUCUAGUGCCGGGAUAGGAGCUUACCUUCUCAAUGACAUAAAGUGCUUGGUUGCGGUCGUCGAGGAGCAAAAGCAAAUCAUCAAGAAACACAGGGACCGGAUCGACUACGGUGUUUUGCUGGAGAUGGAUACCCUGCAUGGGUGCAUCAAAGAGGCGCUAUGGUUGCACCCUACGACACCAGUGCUAAUUCGCAAGGCACAUAAGCACUUCAUGGUGGAUAAAGAAGGAAAUGAAUAUAACAUCCCAGCAGGGCAUACACUUGUGAUGUUGGGGAACGCGGUAAUUUCAAAAAAUUUCCUACGAUCACGCAAGAUCUAUCUAGGUGAUGCAUAG
rnacentral:rRNA from 1 species